rnacentral:lncRNA from 1 species
UUUCGCCGAGCGCCAAAAAUAGCCGACGCUUUUUAAAAGCGUUGGCAAUAUACGACGCUACUUAGCGUCGUCGUAGGGUUGGCCUAAGACGACGCUUAUUCGCGUCGUUGAAAACCAAAUAUCCCUCAAAACCCGCGUCCGCCCCCUCCUCCAUCCUCGAUCGACAUAUCAAGCCCUAAUACCCGCGCGACCCUCCUCUGCCUCCUCCUCCCUCCUCUCCGGUGCCGACUGUGUUGUCCCGUCCUUCUCCCUCCUCUCCGGCGCCAAGCGACGUCCUCUCCUCCUCCCUCCUCUAUGGCGCAACCUCCUCUCUUACUCUCUCCUCUGCAGCGCCGACCGGGAGAGCCUUGAAGUUAUGAUUGUUCUUUCCCUUUUUCGAAUCCAUUA